GUGCCAGCAGCCGCGGUAAUACCGGCAGCCCGAGUGAUGGCCGAUAUUAUUGGGCCUAAAGCGUUCGUAGCCGGCCAGUCAAGUCUGUUGGGAAAUCCACGCGCUCAACGCGUGGGCGUCCAGCGGAAACUGUCUGGCUUGGGGCCGGAGGACUCGAGGGGUACGUCCGGGGUAGGAGUGAGAUCCUGUAAUCCCGCACGGACCACCGAUGGCGAAAGCACUUCGAGAAAACGGAUCCGACAGUGAGGGACGAAAGCCAGGGUCUCCAACCGGAUUAGAAACCCGAGUAGUCC
rnacentral:rRNA from 1 species